rnacentral:rRNA from 1 species
CCUACGGGGCGCUGCAGUGGGGAAUAUUGGACAAUGGGCGAAAGCCUGAUCCAGCCAUGCCGCGUGUGUGAAGAAGGCCUUCGGGUUGUAAAGCACUUUCAGUGGGGAAGAAAGCCUUGGGGCUAAUACCCUCGAGGAAGGACAUCACCCACAGAAGAAGCACCGGCUAACUCCGUGCCAGCAGCCGCGGUAAUACGGAGGGUGCGAGCGUUAAUCGGAAUUACUGGGCGUAAAGCGCGCGUAGGCGGUCUGAUAAGCCGGUUGUGAAAGCCCCGGGCUCAACCUGGGAACGGCAUCCGGAACUGUCAGGCUAGAGUGCAGGAGAGGAAGGUAGAAUUCCCGGGGUAGCGGGGAAAUGCGUAGAGAUCGGGAGGAAUACCAGUGGCGAAGGCGGCCUUCUGGACUGACACUGACGCUGAGGUGCGGAAGCGUGGGUAGCAAACAGGAUUAGAUACCCCGGUAGUC